rnacentral:lncRNA from 1 species
UGGGAUUUUGAUUGGCAUUGCAUUAAACCUAUAGAGAACUUUUGGUAACAUCGCCAUUUUGAUGAUGUUAGUUCUGCCUAUCCAUGAACAGGGUAUAUUUUUCCAAAUUCUAAGAUCUUCUUCUACUUCUCUCUUUAGGGUUCUGUAGUUUUCAUUGUAUAAAUCUUUCACCUCCUUUGUUAGGUUGAUUCCCAAGUAUUUUAUUUUUUUUCAGGAUAUUGUGAAUGGAAUGUUUUUCCUCAUUUCCGUUUCAGAAGUUUUGUCGCUGAUAUACAGAAAUGCCUUUGAUUUACGUGUGUUGAUUUUAUAUCCUUCCACUUUGCUGAAUUCAUUUAUUAGCUCUAAUAGUUCUUUUGUAGACCCUUUUGGGUCUU